UCUAGCAAAGUUUUAUUUUAUUUGUGUCAAAUUGAAUGUUCUCCUUUUUUACUACAUUUAAAGUUAUAUAUGUUUAAAUUUACAUAAUAUUAUGAUUUAAUUGUGUCAUUACAUAUGAAUUUUAUAUAAUUAUGUUAUAUAUAAUUUUGGAGGUAUUCAGCAUAGUUAUUUUCUUUAUACACUAAGCAUAUAUAUUAUGAACUUGCAUCCUCCUUGUGUCGUGAAUCGAUGGUGCUACGUGAGAAAACUGCAGAUGUAAUGCGUGACAUCGCAACAGACUUGUGCUUAGGCACAUAAUACGAAAUGUGUUUGCCGCUUUUAUCUCUCGCACAGAACCGUGCGGUACCCUGAAGCAACUUGAAUAUUUAAUGUGCUUUGCCCCACACUUUUAAAAAGUUUAUGCUUACGCGAUGUUUAAAAAAGAAUACUCUGUUAAAUGCGAGGUAAUGUGGGUUCCUGCAGAAAUAGCAACAGCCAGUUUCUCAUAAACUUUUGAUAUGGAUGAUUCAAACUACUCCGGACGAAAAGACUUCGAAUGGGCAGUACAAUUAAAUCGUGCAAGCUUGCAUUUGCUUGGGAUAUGGCCUAAUCCGGAAGAAAAUCCCAAAAAGAAAUUAAUGAGCAAUAUACGUGUAUUCGUUACAUUUGUGCUGGUGAUAAGUUUAUUGGUGCCUUCUAUACAUUCUCUGAUUAAAAUUCGUUCUGAUAUCAUGAUGACAAUAGAUAAUUUACAAUAUACUUUACCGGUUCUUAGCGCCAUUAUAAGGCUCGCAAUAUUUUGGUGGAGAAAGGAAGUUCUCAUGCCGAUCAUGAACAUGGUCAUGGAAGACUGGUUAAAAUCAAAAACCAUCUACGAAAGAAAUACAAUGAUCAAAUGGGCGUUACGUGAACGUAUAAUUAUUACAAUUACGUAUCUAAUAAUAAUGAUGGUGAUCAUACUUCUUUUUGGCAUGUCUAUUUUUGGAAAAUCAAUGAGAUUGACAUCGAAUAUUACUGAUUCAUACAGAUCAUUACCUGUACAAACUUAUUAUAUUUAUGACGUAACAAAGAGACCGCAGUACGAGUUAACAAUUAUAAGCCAAUACAUUUCUCUCAUCAUCGCUGCUAUGCUAUAUACAGGAAUUGACAAUUUUUUUGGAUUAUUAGUUUUUCAUAUUUGCGGACAAUUGGACAUCAUGAGAUAUCGUCUCAAACAUAGUCACCAAAAGUUUCGUGCUAUAUUGAGGUGCAGUGUGAUGUAUCAUCUUCGAUUGCUUAGAACUAUAGAUACUAUAGAAAAUAUAUAUAAUGUGAUUCUUUUAAUAUUGUUCCUGUAUUUUGCAAUACUCUUUGCGUUCUGCGGGUUUCUAUUAGUUACUGUCUUUGAAGACGAAAAGAAUGAUAUAUCGUUUACACGUCUGUCACUUAGUUUCCUCAUUAUUCUGGCCUUACUCUUUCAUAUGGGUAUUUAUUGCGCAGUGGGCGAGGCACUAAUAUCUAAAAUCGAUGGAAUUCAUUAUGCGGCAUAUGAUUGCAAAUGGUAUUCCCUAGCUCCAAAAGAAGCAAAGGACUUAAUCCCAUUUAUAAUUAAAUUUAGUGAACCAGUGUAUUUCACUGCUGGAAAAGUAUUUCCUAUAACAAUGGCUAUGUUUUGCAAUUUAAUAAAAACGUCGGUCAGUUAUGUAUCCGUUUUACUUACAACGAGGAAGAACUAAAAGUGUAGUUGAAAAUAAAUUCUUUCCAGCUUUCUCUAUAGAAUUGCUAGGAUACAACAAUUAAAACUACUUUUCGGAAAAAAAGUUAACUACAUUAAAUAAUACUUACAACAAAAGGACUAUGAUAUACUCACGGCACAGAUGCGCAGACAGCGUUGGACUGCUAUGCUUUUAAAACAGUAAGAAUAUAGAAUAUAGAAUGAACGUUAUUAUUAAAACACAUACCUCUGAUACAUAAUAUUAUAUGUAUAAGUAGAAGUAGAGUCAAUGUAUCUAUUAUAUUAAAAUAUAACAGAAAUAUAUUCCAUUGUUAUUCUUUAUCCUUUUCAUCUUCAUAAACUUUUUCAUUGUAACAUAUGCUUACCUGUGUAAACUAUCUCAUAUGUGUAUUGUUAAUGGCAAUAAUUACAUUAUGAAAUAUUACAAUUGAAAUGAUAAUAUAAAUAAAGUGACAAUAAAAUAUACUUUAUUUUU
rnacentral:misc_RNA from 1 species